CAGCAGCCGCGGUAAUACAGAGGAUGCAAGCGUUAUCCGGAAUGAUUGGGCGUAAAGCGUCUGUAGGUGGCUUUUCAAGUCCGCCGUCAAAUCCCAGGGCUCAACCCUGGACAGGCGGUGGAAACUACCAAGCUGGAGUACGGUAGGGGCAGAGGGAAUUUCCAGUGGAGCGGUGAAAUGCGUUGAGAUCGAAAAGAACACCAACAGCGAAAGCACUCUGCUGGGACGACACUGACACUAAGAGACGAAAGCUAGGGGAGCAAAUGGGAUUAGAUACCCCUGUAGUCCCUGUCUCUUAUAC
rnacentral:rRNA from 1 species